UCCAAUAGCUGACUGUGGAGCCUCUCUU
rnacentral:piRNA from 1 species